GUGGGGAAUCUUCCGCAAUGGACGAAAGUCUGACGGAGCGACGCCGCGUGAGUGAAGAAGGUUUUCGGAUCGUAAAGCUCUUUCGUUAGGGACGAACGUGCUCUUUGUGAAUAAUGAGGAGUAAUGACGGUACCUAAAUAAGAAGCCACGGCUAACUACGUGCCAGCAGCCGCGGUAAUACGUAGGUGGCAAGCGUUGUCCGGAAUUAUUGGGCGUAAAGCGCGCGCAGGCGGGAUAUCAAGUCUGUCUUAAAAGUGCGAGGCUCAACCUCGUGAGGGGACAGAAACUGGUAUUCUUGAGUGUCGGAGAGGAAAGUGGAAUUCCAAGUGUAGCGGUGAAAUGCGUAGAGAUUUGGAAGAACACCAGUGGCGAAGGCGACUUUCUGGACGAUGUCUGACGCUGAGGCGCGAAAGCUAGGGGAGCGAACGGGAUUAGAAACCCGGGUAGUCC
rnacentral:rRNA from 1 species